GACGAACGCUGGCGGCGUGCUUAACACAUGCAAGUCGAACGGAAAGGCCCUGCUUUUGUGGGGUGCUCGAGUGGCGAACGGGUGAGUAACACGUGAGUAACCUGCCCUUGACUUUGGGAUAACUUCAGGAAACUGGGGCUACUACCGUAUAGGAGCUCCUGCUGCAUGGUGGGGGUUGGAAAGUUUCGGCGGUUGGGGAUGGACUCGCGGCUUAUCAGCUUGUUGGUGGGGUAGUGGCUUACCAAGGCUUUGACGGGUAGCCGGCCUGAGAGGGUGACCGGCCACAAUGGGACUGAGAUACGGACCAGACUGCUACGGGAGGCAGCAGUGGGGAAUAUUGCACAAUGGGCGGAAGCCUGAUGCAGCAACGCCGCGUGCGGGAUGACGGCCUUCGGGUUGUAAACCGCUUUCGCCUGUGACGAAGCGGGAGUGACGGUAAUGAGUAAAGAAGCACCGGCUAACUACGUG
rnacentral:rRNA from 1 species